UUAGCGGCGGACGGGUGAGUAACACGUGGGCAACCUGCCUGUAAGACUGGGAUAACUUCGGGAAACCGAAGCUAAUACCGGAUAGGAUCUUCUCCUUCAUGGGAGAUGAUUGAAAGAUGGUUUCGGCUAUCACUUACAGAUGGGCCCGCGGUGCAUUAGCUAGUUGGUGAGGUAAAGGCUCACCAAGGCAACGAUGCAUAGCCGACCUGAGAGGGUGAUCGGCCACACUGGGACUGAGACACGGCCCAGACUC
rnacentral:rRNA from 1 species